rnacentral:rRNA from 1 species
GUCUACGGCCAUACCGCCCUGAAUGAGCCAGAUCCUGUCUGAUCUUGAAAGCCAAGCAGGGUCAGGCCUGGUUAGUACUUGGAUGGGAGACCACCUAGGAAGACCAGGUGCUGUAGGUG